GGGUGUAUAGCUCAGUGGUAGAGAGCGUGCUUAGCAUGUGCACAUUCCUGGGUUCAGUCCCCAGUACCUCCA
rfam:Camelus ferus unplaced genomic scaffold scaffold1507, whole genome shotgun sequence.